GACGAACGCUGGCGGCGUGCCUAAUACAUGCAAGUAGAACGCACAGUUUAUACCGUAGCUUGCUACACCAUAGACUGUGAGUUGCGAACGGGUGAGUAACGCGUAGGUAACCUGCCUGGUAGCGGGGGAUAACUAUUGGAAACGAUAGCUAAUACCGCAUAAUAUUAAUUAUUGCAUGAUAAUUAAUUGAAAGGUGCAAUUGCACCACUACCAGAUGGACCUGCGUUGUAUUAGCUAGUAGGUGAGGUAACGGCUCACCUAGGCGACGAUACAUAGCCGACCUGAGAGGGUGAUCGGCCACACUGGGACUGAGACACGGCCCAGACUCCUACGGGAGGCAGCAGUAGGGAAUCUUCGGCAAUAGACGAAAGUCUGACCGAGCAACGCCGCGUGAGUGAAGAAGGGUGUCGGAUCGUAAAGCUCUGUUGUAAGAGAAGAACGGGUGUGAGAGUGGAAAGUUCACACUGUGACGGUAGCUUACCAGAAAGGGACGGCUAACUACGUG
rnacentral:rRNA from 1 species